GCCCAACAAAAGACAGAAUGCCAAACUUCGUGUUGACCAGUUAAAGUAUGAUGUCCAGCACCUGCAGACUGUUCUCAGAAACUUCCAACAUCAGCGAUAUGCAAGGGAGCAGGAGGAGAGACAGAGAGAGGAGCUUCUGUCUCACACCUUCACCCCCAACGGGACUCAGAGGAGG